rnacentral:lncRNA from 1 species
GUUGGCCCCAGAUGACUUUUAAAAUGUAAACAUCAUUGAAAAAGUUCCAAAUUAUCUCCCUUUGGUGGAAAAAUGCCAUUUUUUGGCUUUAAAAUUGAAAUAUCUCUUAACUCAUCGGUGACCUAUAUUUUUUAAUAUAAUUUCGAUAUAUGCUGUACUUAAACUAAAUUAUUGUAAAAUUUGAGCGAAUUCUGUAAUAAAUUUCUAUUUU